AUAAUUUAUUGCAAAUCUCAAUUCUUCAAGCAUGAGCUAUGCUUUGGCAAAAACAAGUUUUAAGACAUUGAAAAGUGAAAGCAUGUGGCAAUGAUGACUGCCUGCAAUCACAAGUUGUUUUUUCCCAGAAGUACCAUGCCCUUUCACCCCAAUCUCCCUUCUCUCCCUUCUCGCCAAGCCAUUUAUUUGCAAUUUAUUGACACAAGUAAAAACUGAGUUAAAAUAAAAAUUAAAAAAAAAAACAAAUGAAAAAAAACAAAUGACAAAGCCUUACGGAUUUUACACCAAAAAAUUACCCCACGAUAAAUACAACUCAAGCCAAGGCUUCACUAGACAUUCAACCUCAACCCAUUUGUCUCAAUGAGAAUCAAUGUCACAGUCAGAAGCUGUAACUAUGCCCACAGACAAUUCAAGCAUUUCAUAUUGCACAAGAAAAAAACUAACAGAACUUGCAGCAAAGGAACUUUAAAUAGAAAUGUCAUAUCCCACACUAAAAAAGGGCACGAAGCACGCCAGAAUCUCACUCAAUGCUAGCUGUCACUUCAGGCAGGUAGGUAGUGUAAGUCCAUGGCACACAAAAGCCAGUACAACAUAGACAAUCACUAGGAGGAGGACAAUCAAAGCAAUCCUGAAAUAAGCAAACAAUCAGUCAAUCAGCAACAGAAGAAUAGAUCUUAACAUCUCUUCUUUCUGUUGAAUAAUGGUACACUAUUUUGUAUUUAAGAAAACUGUUUCAGACAACAUACGUAAGCUUGACGUUUCUCCACCAUACUGUGUUUCUGAAACGACGAGCUUGCUUUCUGAAACGGAAGGUGUUCCCUUGCAUAUUAGCAGUUUUAUCAACCAGCAAUUCCAAACGAUCUCCUCUCUCUAAAACUUUGUCAAUAUUCUCAAUCAUGACAUUUCGCACCUACAAGGAAUUUGGGGGGAGGGGGGAGUGGGGAGAACCCAGACAAUAUGCAGUCAACUGUAAACUUGUGAACAUCAAAUAUAGAGGAAGGCCAUAAGAUUGAACUCUAAAGUCUGAAGGCAAAGUGGAGAUUAAUAAAUCAUGAGCACAUCCAUUAUACAAAGAGGUGCAUAACCAAACUUAUCAUUCAGUGUCAGAGUGAGAUUUUACUCCAUGAAUCUUCAAUUUUAACUAAUCAAAAUCCUUUGACAAAGCAAUGAAAGGGCAAAAUAGACUGGGACCACAUGUCAAUUUGCUUAAUGCAACUCAUGGAUGGAAACACAUGACAUACAAUAUUUGAAUUCAUAGUUUGUGCAAAGAAUCUAAACUUACCUGACUCAUUUCACCUUUUAGUCUAUUUAUCCUGUCAGCAUUUGGAUCAUUUGAGUAAUACUCCAUUUGCUGGCUCAAAACCCUUGAAAAUUCAUCAUUCAUGGCAUAAGCCUGGGCUGAAUGAAUAGCACAGCCAUAAGUCCUCACAAAUCUCUGAUGAAUGUCUUCCAGAAAUGCAAAAGGAAUUCUUCCUGCAUAAAGCAUUAUGGAUCAACAAAAGUUUAUGCAAGAUUUCCUCACAAAAGGUUUCACACAAAAUAUUCAUCCGUUAUUCUUAUUGCUAAAUAUCCUACAACUUAGAGUUUUGCAGAAAAAUGUGGAACAUUGACUUAAUUGGCUAUAAAAUGAUGUCAAUUUUAAUGGCUUUAAGACAAUUUAAUAGGUUCCUGUAAAUAGGCUUGAACUUUUGCACAUAAAAGAGAAACAAACACACAUGUAAACAUGCAGAGAAGGUGACAGAGAGAUUAAGAGUUAGUUUUUUUAUGCAUAAAACCCAACAUUAAUGACCAUGCAGCUAACUAAGGACGAAAACAAUUAAUACUGUUUCACAUAUGAUGCAAGAUGAUAGAACCACUUUACAAGACCAGGUAGCGACUGAAUCAACUACACUUCAAUCCCAAACUAAGUGUGAAAAGAAUUCAAUUACUUAAGCUUCCAUUUUUUUACAGCAAAAGAUUCAUCCAGAAACUACAUCCCCACUCCUGAAAACAAUCACCGAGUCAUCCCAAUGUACCCCCAAACCCCACCCCACCUCCAACAGCAGUUUUUCAGAAUAAUUUGGAGCAACUCUUAAUCUAAAUUAAAGGAAUAAGAUCUCUCCAAUACACUGUGUUUUGAAAAUUAGAAACAUGCAGAGUUUAAAAAAGCACCAUUCUUGGCCAAUUAAGAUAAUGAAUGAGGUAAUUUAAUACAGAGCAUAUGUUCCACCCUUCCAAAUAAAAAUAAAUUGCAAAACUUAACUUGAAAUCCUAAAACUACCUAACAACUGCACAUGAGAAUCACUCAUUCACUAAUUCAAAAUGCAGAAUACUUGUAAAGAAACACUCCUUGGAGACCUGGCGCAUUCAAAUUCUGCCCUGGUUAGGUGAAAUAUUUACCAAUGUCACCUUAAAACGGGGCAAAGUAAUAUGAUAUAGAUCUCUAUUAUGCACCACAGCGCAGAUGCUUAUUGGAUGACUAUACAUCCAUGAAACGUAAGCACACAAGAGGCAAGAAGAUAUCAUAAGAAAAUACCAAGAAAAUCCAAUAUAUAGAAUCAAUUUAAAUUAUAAGAAAAAAGAAACUCCAGUCCAGUUAAAUUGUGGGAAAUUACGCUCCAGUUAAAUAGAGGGAAAUUAAGUCUUACUCCUAAGCUACCAGUUCUCAUUCUCAAUCUCAAACACAAAAUUAGCAUCAAACAAAAGCGUUGUAAAAUUAGUAACAAAAUGAGAAUUGGAGAACAAAAAGCAAUACUUCCAGCGGUAUCAUCAACCAUACGGAGAACAGUGAGACCAUUGGUGCACUUGACGUGAAAUAUAUAACGAUCUUGAGAAUAAGAGACGUGGCUGUCAUUAUUGCCUGGUAUCUUCUCCAAUAUCUGCCUUGCAAUGGCGCUAGCGUUGGUCGCCGUCGCAGUAAACUCCGCCAGAACCACCGAUCCCCUCGCUACCAGCGCGUAAAGGAUCGCCAUAUCCUCUUUCUCGCUCUCAAAAUUAGGGAUCGAUCAAUCAGUUGAACGGUGCUUUGAUCGAUCAACUUCAAUUAUAAAAGGCUCUCUCUUCUUGAUAAAACCUAAUUAAAAGGUAAACAAAAUGUAAAAACUCUCUCUCUCUCUCUCUCU
rnacentral:misc_RNA from 1 species